GCUGAACAGGCCAUCAGGCAGCCUGCCAUGGGGCCCUGCUCCAAGAACAGGUCCUUCUGCCGGGCAACUGUGCUCCUGGUAUUCAUCAGCCUCCUCCUCACACUGUUCUAGGAAAAACCCCGGAAAGAAACAGGAGGGGCCCAUCAAUUCAGGAACAAUUGAACAAGCUGAGGAGUAUCUGUUCCAUGGCAUAUGACAGAAGCUUACAAAAGCAAAUGUUCUAGUUAUCUGAAAGGAAUGUUCAGCUUCCAUGAGGCACUGGGGUUAGAAGAUUGCUUAACAAAGAAAAAGAAGGAAGGAAGGAUGAAAUGAAGGAUGGGAGAAGGAGAAGGAAGAAGUAAAGACAGAGAGAGAAAGAAAGAAGGAAACAACUUAGAAUUUCUCUCAUUUUAGGGGUAAGAGAUCUGUGUUCAGACAAGGAAAGUGAUUCUCUCAGGGAACCACUGGGAAGGAAUGAAAUUGAAAUUGGUUGUUCCAUCAGGCCUGACCUCUGUGGUACUGAAUAAGACAAGCCCCCUUGCAGUGAAGUUUGGUCAGAGGCUGUCUGUGGAAGGAACAUCACUGUGAAAUUGCUGUGUCCUCUUAGGAAUCCUGAAGCUCCAGAGUUGGAUACAUUUUUUCUGUGGUUUCUGGAGUAUCCCUGUUCCAGUUCACCCUUGACCUAGGGAGAGGGAUGGGUGGUGAAGCAGUGAUGAUGAAGGUGGGGAUGAGAUAUUUGUCCUAAUCAUUCUUAAACUUUUACACCUUCCUGAACAUGUGUUUAAAUGGAAAAAUGUGGAAGGGAAGGAAGGAGCCUGAAGGUGAUUCAGUUCACAUGUAAUUUCCCAGAGACACAGGCAGCUGCAGGUGAGGGUGGUACACAACUUUUGGGGACCUCUUAAGGGAGGAGACCACCCCUCAUAUUGUCUUGUGCCCAAUUUCUGCCUCCAAAGAAAGAAGAAGUAAAAACUAAAAGUCAGAAAUGAAAUCCACAGGCAGACAGCCCAGCGCCACACCCUGGGCCUGGUAAUUAAAGAUCGACCCCUGACAUAACUGAUUCUGUUAUCUAUAGAUUACAGACAUUGUAUAGGAAUGCACUGUGAAAACCCCUAUCUUGUUUUGUUCCGAUCUAAUUACUGGUGCAUGCAGCCCCUAGUCACGUACCCCCUGCUUGCUCAACCAAUCACGACCCUCUCACUUGCACCUCCUUAGAGUUGUGAGCCUUUAAAAGGGACAGGAAUAGCUCACUCAGGGAGCUGGGCUCUUAAGACUGAAAUCUUGCCAAUGCCCCCAGCCGAAUAAACCCCUUCCUUCUGUAACUCGGUGUCUGAGG
rnacentral:lncRNA from 1 species